CAGGACCUAACACAUGCAAGUCGAACGAAGGCUUCGGCCUUAGAGGCGCACGGGUGCGUAACGCGUGGGAAUCUGCCCCUCGGUUCGGAAUAACAGUUGGAAACGACUGCUAAUACCGGAUGAUGACGUAAGUCCAAAGAUUUAUCGCCGAGGGAUGAGCCCGCGUAGGAUUAGCUAGUUGGUGGGGUAAAGGCCUACCAAGGCGACGAUCCUUAGCUGGUCUGAGAGGAUGAUCAGCCACACUGGGACUGAGACACGGCCCAGACUCCUACGGGAGGCAGCAGUGGGGAAUCUUGCGCAAUGGGCGAAAGCCUGACGCAGCGACGCCGCGUGAGUGAUGAAGGCCUUCGGGUUGUAAAGCUCUGUGGGGAGGGACGAAUAAGUGCUGGCUAACAUCCAGCGCGAUGACGGUACCUCUUUAGCAAGCACCGGCUAACUCCGUGCCAGCAGCCGCGGUAAU
rnacentral:rRNA from 1 species